UUAAAUGUGACAGCACUGCCAGCAGGUACCUGUGGCCACCUAAAGCUCCGCCGGGCUUCUUCUUUUGUGUGGUGGUCUUCCUGCCUUCACUAUGCCCUCAGGCAGGAUGGGCACUACCUGCGUUCUCCUCUCUACAGUGGCAAGUGUCUUAGAAAGAGCAGUUCUCCUGCUCCAGACAGGCCCAGCCUGGAGGGCCUGAGGGUAGCAGACCCCGGUAAGUGAGUCUCUAUAUUGCUCUUUCUUACUGAGUAAGUCUGAGCUCAGAGACCAGCUGCUCUGUUCCAAGCCCGGUGAGGAGGCUGGUGAGGGCCACACUCAGGGUAGGCUGCCCAGGCCAAGUUGCUGAGCCACAGGGAGGUUCUGCAGAUGUUGGUCUCCAUAAAGCAGGCACUUGUGGCUGCCUGAAGCGCUAGGUGACCCCAUUCUUCCUGAUGCUGAAGAAGUUGUCACACAUCCACUUCCUGGAAUCCAGAAGCCUUUGUUUCCUCCUCAGACAGAGGAAGUCUCAGUGGGUACCAAGUUCAUCUGAAGUUUCCAGCCUUUGACCUCUGACUGGGAUUCAGCUAUGUGUUCCUGGCCUGGCAGCAGUCCUCCUGUCUCAGCCUUCUGACCACUACGAUUAUAGGUUUGAGCCACCACACUGCCUUUCACUGUGCUGUCCAGGCUUGGCAGUUCUUUCAACUAUCCUGUAUACAUAUGGAUAUGUAUACAGUCAUAUCCAUAUGACUGUAUGUGCCAACCUGAUGUCCCCAGCAAUCCUGUACUCCAGAUAAGCACAAGCCAUUGGUCUGACUGGAGACCACUGCUUUCUCAGCUCCUAUAAAUAUCCUGAUGAUGUACCUUCAGGAACAGACAUUAGAAUCCCUGGCAGGGUUGUCCCCCCCCCCCCUAGCUAUUUGUGUAUAAGAACCUACACAAUAGCUAUAUAAGAUUCCAGUUCAAAUGGAAUGAAAGCCAUAUUUCAACAACACUGAGAAGAUGAGUUCAUGAAAAACUAGAAGAGCCUUUAGUUCCUGUGAUGUGUCCUACGUGUCAGGCAAGCCUACUUAUAAGCUCAGUGCUGGUAACUUUUGGUGGCAAGUCACUCCAUCUACCAGAGAUGCUGUCUGGAUUCUUCCUGUUCUUCACACAGUAGAACUAGAUAUUAUCAAGAUACUUACAGGGUCCUUUUUGGCUUUGGCCUGAAGGCGGUUCUUACAUUCAGUAGAACACUGUGUUCUGUUGAAACCUUACAUGUUUUCUCCAUGAGCCUUCCCAUGUCUGCCUGUCUCUUCUUAGACAUGACAGAGAGUGAAACAAGUUGCUUUUUUAGGCUUCAAAAGAUUAUGGAACUGUCUUUUCUGUUGUUGUUGUUGUUCCAUUUUCAAUAACUCAAAACUCUUUGGGAUCCAUUACAUCAACCUUGGCAAGUGGGUAGAGCAGCAAACCAGGCUCCCUUAGUUUGGAACCAAAACAAGGAUCAUCCACACACCCUCUUUCUAGCUUUAUCAAGACUAGAUUUUUUUUCACUUUAGCUGGAUGAUGUAUACAUUUAACAUUCCAGGAAAAAGGUGUCUGUGAUUUGAAAGUCAUAGUAAAUGG
ensembl:antisense D630008O14Rik RIKEN cDNA D630008O14 gene